GCGAGCGUAGCUCAGCUGGUAGAGCGUCUGCUUCCCAAGCAGAAUGUCGGGAGUUCGAGUCUCCUCGCUCGCU
rnacentral:tRNA from 1 species